AGGUGGCAAACUACUGAGAUAAACUGAAAGCAACACACUGGGACAUCAACUCAAUCUGAUCAUCUGCAAGUCUGAACUCUGAAGGAUGUACCCUGCUCCCUGACUGUGGAACUGAAGCAUGCCUCCUCACUGACUCUGAGGGACCAGCCUUGUGAUCAGAUACGAACUGAAUAUUAAGAGAUGCUCUGUGAUCAUGAGGAGGUGAAGACGAUCCCUCCUCCUCUGCUCUCUCCUCAACACCCUUCGACCA
rnacentral:lncRNA from 1 species